rfam:Clostridiales bacterium KLE1615 genomic scaffold Scaffold737, whole genome shotgun sequence.
UGAUAUCAGGGUCAAAAGCUCCAAAAGCCGUUCGUGCUUGCACGAUUAGGUUUUUGAGCUUAGGACCCGCAAAAACAUGAAGAUACAGCGAUUUUCAAGGAAAAUCAGCGAAUCCGAAUGUUUUUAGAAUUGUGAAAGUUGCAUAGCAACGGAGCAAUUCGUGGAUAUCA